AGAGUUUGAUCAUGGCUCAGAGCGAACGCUGGCGGCAGGCUUAACACAUGCAAGUCGAGCGGGCGUAGCAAUACGUCAGCGGCAGACGGGUGAGUAACGCGUGGGAACGUACCUUUUGGUUCGGAACAACACAGGGAAACUUGUGCUAAUACCGGAUAAGCCCUUACGGGGAAAGAUUUAUCGCCGAAAGAUCGGCCCGCGUCUGAUUAGCUAGUUGGUGAGGUAACGGCUCACCAAGGCGACGAUCAGUAGCUGGUCUGAGAGGAUGAUCAGCCACAUUGGGACUGAGACACGGCCCAAACUCCUACGGGAGGCAGCAGUGGGGAAUAUUGGACAAUGGGCGCAAGCCUGAUCCAGCCAUGCCGCGUGAGUGAUGAAGGCCCUAGGGUUGUAAAGCUCUUUUGUGCGGGAAGAUAAUGACGGUACCGCAAGAAUAAGCCCCGGCUAACUUCGUGCCAGCAGCCGCGGUAAUACGAAGGGGGCUAGCGUUGCUCGGAAUCACUGGGCGUAAAGGGUGCGUAGGCGGGUCUUUAAGUCAGGGGUGAAAUCCUGGAGCUCAACUCCAGAACUGCCUUUGAUACUGAGGAUCUUGAGUUCGGGAGAGGUGAGUGGAACUGCGAGUGUAGAGGUGAAAUUCGUAGAUAUUCGCAAGAACACCAGUGGCGAAGGCGGCUCACUGGCCNNAUACUGACGCUGAGGCACGAAAGCGUGGGGAGCAAACAGGAUUAGAUACCCUAGUAGUCC
rnacentral:rRNA from 1 species